UAGUAAUCGCGCAUCAGCCAUGGCGCGGUGAAUACGUUCCCGGGCCUUGUACACACCGCCCGUCAAGCCAUGGGAGCCGGGGGCGCCUGAAGUGCGGUACCGCGAGGGCCGCCCAAGGGCGAGACCGGUGACUGGGGCUAAGUCGUAACAAGGUAAC
rnacentral:rRNA from 1 species